AAAAAAAAAAAAGGCUUUUAAAAAGCAGUUCGAGGUCCCCAAUGCUUGCCUCUCCUCCCGUGGUCACGGACAGCGAUUCCCUUCUCACAGUGCACCAGCCUCCAGGUAAUUAGCUCAAACACAGCAUCUACUGUUGUCUUCUUGCUGACUGACAGUGGGCAGAAAAUCAAACCAUUUACUGGUUGUCAUGGGGAUGCUGAGUUCUAGCACUGUGGCGCUGGAUGCAAGGGAGAUGAGGCUGUUCACCGGGAACACAAGUGGAACCGUAAAGGUGUAGGAAAGCUCAUUCCUCUCCUUUAGCCUUUCAAGGAAGAAUAUUGCAAAAAACAAACACAAGAAAAAAGGCUGAUGAGGAUGAAGACGCAAAGAAAAGCAGCUCCUUUUCUUGAAGAGGAAUCUCCUAGUUUUGGUAUGGAGGGUACACAGUAAUUUUGCUUGUAAGUAAUUUAUAAAAGGUGGGGGUUUAUGCACUGGUAUUCUUUGAUCUAUUAUGUCAAAAUUGGAUAAAAAGCCAAUUCAGACCCAUUUUUUUGCAGAAUGAUAGAAGACUUCAAGGUUUUAUGUUAAAAUACUGAAGUUGUCUCUGAUGUGAACCAUUUAUCUCUUAACGUAACAGAAAUUAUAUUUCAAGUAAA